rnacentral:lncRNA from 1 species
AGAGUACACACGGGAACAUGUCUAACCUGUUAAAUGUGGUUCAUUUCAUGUUGACAUUCUAUUAGAUACUUAUUUUAUCCUUUUACUAGGAAAAAAGAAAAUAUCACUUUAAAGAAUUGUGCGUCCAAAUGGCUUUUUAUUGAUUAACCUUCUUUAGGAACGCCCAAAGCCAAAAUUUCGAAAGCUAAAAAUGUGUUAGUACCAAAACACGGGAAAAACUAUUUUACCCAGAAGGUUUUCAUAGCAAAACCAUGUAAUAACUUUGCCUGAGAGAAUUGGAACUGCAGUUUCUUAAUAAUUUCUAAUUUCGUGAACGAACAAUUUAAGAAAUAGUCUAAAAUGCAUAAUCUUUUUCAUUAGUUGUUAUUGGCUUUGAAUAAGCUGUGUGUAACUGCGAGUAGUCUACGAUCUGUAUUUAGUGUCUUUCUGUUGUAUUGAUGUAUAAGUACCCAUCCACUUCUACUUUGUGUUUUUGUUAGAUGUAUUUCUAUUUGUAUCCAUCUGAUGAGUUAAGCCUUUAUCAACUGACUUUUUAGUUAGUUAGUGUUCUUAUAUUGUACUGUUACACCACUGUCCUAGGUUUGGGGAGUGUUGGCGCCUUUAAUCAAGUUUAGCCCCGCCACAGUCUACAUAUGCCUGUCCAAAGUCAGGAGCCUGUAUCUAAGUGACCGUUUUUGCUGUUUGUCAUAUUUGUUUUGUUUAGUGUCUUCUUUUUUUGUGCUGUUACACCACUGUCUCCGGUUAUGAUGAGGGUUUUGCGCCAUCUAACUAAUUUAACCCCGCCACUGCCUGCCCAAAGUCAGGAGCCUGUAAUUCUGUGGUUGUCGUUUGUUGCCGUGUAACAUAUUUGUUUUUCGAUCAAUAUUUAGUAAAUAAAUUAGGCCGUUAGUUUUCUCGUUUAAACUAUUUUAUAGCUGAUUGUGCGGUAUGGUUUUCGAAGAGUUGUUUCUUUGCCAACCAUACCACAUCUUCUUAUUUGUAUAUGUUAUAAAUCAUGCGGGUACAAAAGCAUUGACAACUGAGCUGAAGACACUCUCGGGAACUAGUAGUCUCCCAGCAGCCUUUAUGACAUAAUAGUGACACCUCAAGUGACCUUUCUGAACCAAAGUAUCCAAAUUAUAUAAACCUGUUCAGUUGUAUGCAAAAUAAUAUAAUUUUGAAGUUCCUGAACAUGUUGAACAAGAUUACUAUAUUUGCAAUUUCAGCGCCAAGUAACAGCUCUUAUCAUACUUCCUAAUUUACAACAAUAUAGAGUAUUACCAGAUAUCAGAAAUAAUAAGUACAUGACUAUGAAAAGCAUUGGUAAUAUAAGAUAUAAACAAUCUAACUCACAGAACACACAGAAUAAUUAUUAAAAAUAUGUACAUGGCUAUGUAAAGCAUUGAUAAUAUAAGAUACAAACUAUAAUCUAACUCAUAGAAC